GACAGAGGUGCCGAGCGUUAGGCGGAAUCACUGGGCUUAAAGCGUGUGUAGGCGGGUGCCUAAGUACCUUGUGAAAUCCCACGGCUCAACCGUGGAACGGCUGGGUAUACUGGCGGUCUUGGGCCAUUCAGGGGCGACUGGAACAAGCGGUGGAGCGGUGAAAUGCGUAGAUAUCGCUUGGAACGCCGAAGGUGAAAACAGGUCGCUGGGGAUGUGCCGACGCUGAGACACGAAAGCCAGGGGAGCAAACGGG
rnacentral:rRNA from 1 species